UAAUUAGUGCCUGCAAAAAGUCAUCAACCUGCAAAGUGAAAAGCGCAUUGCCAUGAAGCCGCCGCUGCCACUGCCGAGAAAAUGCCAAGAUCAAAAGUUCAGAUCGGCUUUUAGGCCGAAAAUCAUAAAAGCCCAACUGGGUCCACAUACCUGCAAAGUUCUCUACAGAUUGCUCAGCAUUCAAGACUCUCUACAAUCUGCCUCCAACUUGGUCCGCUUCCCUAUAUCUGGAUGUUGCUGAAUGACUCUCACUUGGUUUAAGUUCACUUAAGAAGCCCUCUCCUCCAGCCAUCACUGGUGACCCAGAACCAUGCCUACUUCCACCUGCAGCUUUCAGUUGGCCCAAAGGCAGAAAAAUAUUAAGAACCAUUCAAAUUCAUCUGAAAUGUCAACCUCUGAAUGUGGACUAUUAGCAAUGAAAACAGGAAGUAACCUUCCCUCUGAGUAAGUACAAUCCACAAAACAAUGGGCCCCCAUUAAAAGGAGGCCCAGCCUCCGGUGAAUGACAAAGGCGGAGAAGGGCAGCCUAACUGGGCUGGAGGUGGCUGCUUCUGUUGCUGAAGUUGGAAUCCAAAAUCCCAACUACUUGCCAGGGCCGGAAAUAUCUCGCCAAGGCUGGAAUAGCUAAAAUGGGCCACAUACUAGGUGUGAGUGGACACUCGUACACACACAGAGAUGCUUAGGAAGGGACAGCGUCUGAUGAUGAUGAAACAGUUAGUCAAUAAGCAUCUAUUAAGCAUCUCCCAUAUUCCAGGCACUCUGUGAGGUUGGUGAUAGAAAGCCAACUGAUAAACAGGGAUUCACUCUUUUCCAUUUAAAAAAAAAUCUGAUUUCAGAUGAAUGUUUACAUAUACAAAGAAUUGAAAGAGCAUUGCACACAAGACUACAUGCAGAGCUUUCCAGACCUCAAAGCACUCCAUGAAUUGCUAUCUUCUCAAAGUCAGAGCUCGGUUCAGAGUACUGACCACUGUACCACCCAGCCUUCCCUUCAGGCUGUUGUUUUGACAGCCCUCUGAAGGAAAGAGCUCCGGAGGUUCAGAAUCAGUGUCCGGUGUGCAGUGUGCAGUGUCGGGAAGCUAUCACUUCUGCCAGGCCAGGACUUGCUUGACCCUCCAAAGAAGACUGGGGCCCCUCCGAAAGGAAAAGAGCAGGUUCAGCCCACCGUGCUGGGGGCUGAUCAAACAGAGCUGGCUGAUGAGCUCAGAAGCCUGGGAAGGUUCUGUACUUCAGCCAUAGAAUGGGCUUGGUUAACAAGGGAGCUGCCCCUUGCUCCUCAAGCCCCCAGACCUCUACAGCCCUGGGCGGUGACUCCUUGACCUUCCCCGUAUCAGCCAAAGGCCUGAUGUUCAAGGUCCCCGUCCAUUACCGCCUGAAUGAGCUCAGCAUUUAUUGUUCUUCCAUACUAUUAAAGGAGCUAAAAGGUUGGGGAAAUGUAUAAUGCACCGAAAGGUCAAGUGGAAAUCACGGCGUGGAGGCCGCUCUUACCAGGUAACGAGCCCGCUGCUGCUCUGGGGGGAGGAAGGAACUCAGAAAGGCCCCCUCCCGGGCGGGCCCAGCAACAAUUGCCCAAUUGCACUGACCUUUCGCUCCUCGGCGUCCGCCACAGCCCGCUCCUGGCUCACUUUGUCGGUCUGAAGGCCGAUCUUGGUAAUGAGAGCCUCGGCAUCCCGGCUGCGCAGGUGGAGCUCGGCCUCUUGGGAAGCCAG